UACGUAGGGUGCGAGCGUUGUCCGGAAUUACUGGGCGUAAAGAGCUCGUAGGUGGUUUGUCGCGUUGUUCGUGAAAACUCACAGCUUAACUGUGGGCGUGCGGGCGAUACGGGCAGACUGGAGUACUGCAGGGGAGACUGGAGUUCCUGGUGUAGCGGUGGAAUGCGCAGAUAUCAGGAGGAACACCAGUGGCGAAGGCGGUUGCCUGGAGCUUUGCUGACGCUGAUGCGCGAAAGCGUGGGGAGCGAUCCGG
rnacentral:rRNA from 1 species